rnacentral:rRNA from 1 species
UACGGAGGGGGCUAGCGUUGUUCGGAAUUACUGGGCGUAAAGCGCGUGUAGGCGGCAGCGUAAGUCGGGCGUGAAAUCCCACGGCUCAACCGUGGAAGUGCACUCGAAACUGCGCAGCUAGAGUCCUGGAGAGGAAGGUGGAAUGCUUGGUGUAGAGGUGAAAUUCGUAGAUAUCAAGCGGAACACCGGUGGCGAAGGCGGCCUUCUGGACAGUGACUGACGCUGAGACGCGAAAGCGUGGGGAGCAAACAGG